GCCCACUGAUGAGAUAAUGGCAAGUUUUAUGAUCCAGUCAGACCAAGAGAUUAUGAUAUCUCUCGCCUUCUGUUAGGUGGGUAGUCUUGGUGGUGUGGUUGAGUUAUAUUGCACUGCUGUAAGGGCCCACCCACAGUUAAGUUGUCAUCUUCUACUAUAACCCCCCCCCCAAGAGCAAUGGGAUGGGACAGGUAGGAGAAGGCAUACAGUGUGCACAUGUUUGUUUGUCUUUAUGUGUGUGUUGUGUGAAUGUAUAUGUAUCAGCUGGCAAGAGGAUAUAGUCUCUAUGUAGAUGGUUUGGCAGGUAUGAACUACAGUACUUUGGUAAUCUGAGGGCA